ACGCUAGCUACAGGCUUAACACAUGCAAGUCGAGGGGCAGCAUGGUCUUAGCUUGCUAAGGCCGAUGGCGACCGGCGCACGGGUGAGUAACACGUAUCCAACCUGCCGUCUACUCUUGGACAGCCUUCUGAAAGGAAGAUUAAUACAAGAUGGCAUCAUGAGUCCGCAUGUUCACAUGAUUAAAGGUAUUCCGGUAGACGAUGGGGAUGCGUUCCAUUAGAUAGUAGGCGGGGUAACGGCCCACCUAGUCUUCGAUGGAUAGGGGUUCUGAGAGGAAGGUCCCCCACAUUGGAACUGAGACACGGUCCAAACUCCUACGGGAGGCAGCAGUGAGGAAUAUUGGUCAAUGGGCGAGAGCCUGAACCAGCCAAGUAGCGUGAAGGAUGACUGCCCUAUGGGUUGUAAACUUCUUUUAUAAAGGAAUAAAGUCGGGUAUGCAUACCCGUUUGCAUGUACUUUAUGAAUAAGGAUCGGCUAACUCCGUGCCAGCAGCCGCGGUAAUACGGAGGAUCCGAGCGUUAUCCGGAUUUAUUGGGUUUAAAGGGAGCGUAGAUGGAUGUUUAAGUCAGUUGUGAAAGUUUGCGGCUCAACCGUAAAAUUGCAGUUGAUACUGGAUAUCUUGAGUGCAGUUGAGGCAGGCGGAAUUCGUGGUGUAGCGGUGAAAUGCUUAGAUAUCACGAAGAACUCCGAUUGCGAAGGCAGCCUGCUAAGCUGCAACUGACAUUGAGGCUCGAAAGUGUGGGUAUCAAACAGGAUUAGAUACCCUGGUAGUCCACACGGUAAACGAUGAAUACUCGCUGUUUGCGAUAUACGGCAAGCGGCCAAGCGAAAGCGUUAAGUAUUCCACCUGGGGAGUACGCCGGCAACGGUGAAACUCAAAGGAAUUGACGGGGGCCCGCACAAGCGGAGGAACAUGUGGUUUAAUUCGAUGAUACGCGAGGAACCUUACCCGGGCUUAAAUUGCAGAUGAAUUACGGUGAAAGCCGUAAGCCGCAAGGCAUCUGUGAAGGUGCUGCAUGGUUGUCGUCAGCUCGUGCCGUGAGGUGUCGGCUUAAGUGCCAUAACGAGCGCAACCCUUGUUGUCAGUUACUAACAGGUUCCGCUGAGGACUCUGACAAGACUGCCAUCGUAAGAUGUGAGGAAGGUGGGGAUGACGUCAAAUCAGCACGGCCCUUACGUCCGGGGCUACACACGUGUUACAAUGGGGGGUACAGAGGGCCGCUACCACGCGAGUGGAUGCCAAUCCCAAAAACCUCUCUCAGUUCGGACUGGAGUCUGCAACCCGACUCCACGAAGCUGGAUUCGCUAGUAAUCGCGCAUCAGCCACGGCGCGGUGAAUACGUUCCCGGGCCUUGUACACACCGCCCGUCAAGCCAUGGGAGCCGGGGGUACCUGAAGUGCGUAACCGCGAGGAGCGCCCUAGGGUAAAACUAG
rnacentral:rRNA from 1 species